CCUACGGGAGGCAGCAGUGAGGAAUAUUGGUCAAUGGGCGCGAGCCUGAACCAGCCAAGUCGCGUGAGGGAGGACGGCCCUACGGGUUGUAAACCUCUUUUGCCGGGGAGCAACGGGCGUCACGUGUGGCGCCACUGAGAGUACCCGGAGAAAAAGCAUCGGCUAACUCCGUGCCAGCAGCCGCGGUAAUACGGGGGAUGCGAGCGUUAUCCGGCUUUAUUGGGUUUAAAGGGUGCGUAGGCGGAUCGUUAAGUCAGUGGUCAACUUGAGGGGCCCAACCCCUUCCCGCCAUUGAAACUGGUGGUCUGGAGGAGAAGAGAAGUAUGCGGAAUGCGUGGUGUAGCGGGGAAAUGCAGAGAUAUCACGCAGAACAC
rnacentral:rRNA from 1 species